UUUAUUUAGCAGUUAAGGAGUAAUAGUUGUGCUCUUUCGUUAGUGCAUUUCAUUUGUAUCUAUUUAUUUAUUAAAAUGCAAAAAGGUUUUGCAGAUAGUACAAAUCUGCCAAAAAUUGAUUCAACGACGGU